rnacentral:lncRNA from 1 species
ACCCCCACUAAUGUAAUCAUGCAACUCAUGUGACUGCAAUGGAUCUGUCACAAGUUUGAAGGCAGCCUGGGUUUAACAGUAAACUCUCAGUCAGGCUGGAAUACAGAAUGAGAUUUUGAAGAAAGAAAGAAAGAAAGAAAGAAAGAAAGAAAGAAAGAAAGAAAGAAAGAAAGAAAGAAAGAAAGGGAAAGGAUUAAUGUCUGCUUUCCUCAUCAAAGACCCUAGGAUGGAAAACUGACCCUCACCUCCGAGAAAAAUGGUGCCCUUCCUUCUAAGCCACUAAACUCUGGAGCCCUGCCUCCCCAGUCACCUGGCCUCAUUUAUCCUGCUGCUCUAGAUUUGUCCUUCUGUAUCCCGCAUGAGUAAUGCAGCCAUUGGAGAACACACAGCCUCCUGGGAAGAAGAGACUGGCUACCAUCCACAUGGAAGCUACUGGAGUAAGCUGAUUUCCACCUAGUGUGUGAACAAGAAGAGACAG